GAUUUUGAUGAUUUAUUUGAUGAUGAAGAUCUACAAUAAUUUCAUAAGCGAAGGUAACGAAAGAUAUGAAGUUUCGUCUUAAGAUAAAAGGAGUGUCAUCAGAAUAUGAAAUGGAGUUAAUGUAUAAACUUUUAUUGUUAGAAAAUGAAGAAAUUUAUGUAAAUUAUUUCAUGUAUUAAAUAUGUUUUCUUAAAUUAAAAUUAUGGUAAUUAAA